rnacentral:rRNA from 1 species
UGGAUUAGGCAUGCAAGUCGAACGGUAGAAUCCUUUCGGGGAUUUGAGAGUGGCGAACGGGUGAGUAACGCGUAGGUUAUCUGCCUUCAAAUGGGGGACAACCCAGGGAAACCUGGGCUAAUACCGCAUGUGUCCCGCAAGGUUAAAGGAGGCUCUCGGGCUUUCGCUUAGAGAUGAGUCUGCGUCCAAUUAGCUUGUUGGUGUGGGAACGGCACACCAAGGCGAUGAUUGGUAGGCGGCCUUAACGGGUGGUCGCCCACACUGGGAUUGAGAUACGGCCCAGACUCCUACGGGAGGCAGCAGUCGAGAAUAGUCUACAAUGGGGGAAACCCUGAUAGUGCGACGCCGCGUGAACGAUGAAGCUUUUCGGAGUGUAAAGUUCUUUUCUGUAUGAGCAAUGCCCAUAUCGUUAAUACCAAUAUGGGAGAGAUAUUAGUACAGGAAUAAGCCACGGCUAACUCCGUGCCAGCAGCCGCGGUAACACGGGGGUGGCAAGCGUUGUCCGGAAUUACUAGGCGUAAAGGGCAGGUAGGCGGAUAUUCAAGUCAGGCGUUAAAGGCAUCAGCUCAACUGGUGUACGGCGUUUGAAACUGGAUAUCUAGAGUCAGGUAGAGGUAGAUGGAAUUCCUAGUGUAGCGGUGGAAUGCGCAGAGAUUAGGAAGAACACCAAAGGCGAAGGCAAUCUACUGGGCCAUGACUGACGCUAAACUGCGAAGGUGUGGGUAUCAAACAGGAUUAGAUACCCUGGUAGUCCACACAGUAAACGAUAUACACUAGAUGUCGGGGUAGAUUCAAUCUUCGGUGCCGUAGCUAACGCGUUAAGUGUUUCGCCUGGGGAUUACGAUCGCAAGGUUGAAACUCAAAGGAAUUGACGGGGGCCCGCACAAGCGGUGGAGCAUGUGGUUUAAUUCGAUGCAACGCGAAGAACCUUACCUGGUCUUGACAUCCCGAAAACCUAGAAAUAGGGAAGUGCUCUCUUUGAGAGAAUUUGGUGACAGGUGCUGCAUGGCUGUCGUCAGCUCGUGUCGUGAGAUGUUGGGUUAAGUCCCGCAACGAGCGCAACCCCUAUACUUAGUUACCAUCAUUAAGUUGGGCACUCUAAUGGGACUGCCGGUGUCUGACAAACCGGAGGAAGGCGGGGACGACGUCAAGUCAUCAUGGUCCUUAUGGCCAGGGCCACACACGUGCUACAAUGGUUAAUACCAUGGGCAGCCACUUCGCGAGAAGGAGUAAAUCCCUAAAAGCCGGUCUCAGUCCGGAUUGGAGUCUGCAACUCGACUCCAUGAAGGUGGAAUCGCUAGUAAUCGUGGAUCAGCAUGCCUCGGUGAAUACGUUCCCUGGGAUUGUACACACCGCCCGUCAAGUCAGCCGAGUUGAUUGCACCCGAAGGAGGUGAGCUAACCAGCAAUGGGAGCAGCUUACGAAGGUGUGGUU